rnacentral:tRNA from 1 species
GGCCUCGUAGCUCAGCCGGUACAGCAUGCGCUGUACAAAAGCGUAGGUGACGUCCAUGCGCAGGUUCCAAUCCCACCGAGGCUA